UGGGCAACCUGCCCUCAGCUCUGGGAUAAUCCCGGGAAACCGGGGCUAAUACCGGAUACGACCUCCACGGGCAUCUGUGGAGGUGGAAAGGGUUUCCGGCUGAGGAUGGGCCCGCGGCCUAUCAGCUUGUUGGUGGGGUGACGGCCCACCAAGGCGACGACGGGUAGCCGGCCUGAGAGGGCGACCGGCCACACUGGGACUGAGACACAGCCCAGACUCCGUACGGGAGCA
rnacentral:rRNA from 1 species